rnacentral:rRNA from 1 species
UACGUAGGGGGCUAGCGUUGUCCGGAAUCAUUGGGCGUAAAGAGCGCGUAGGCGGCCAGAUAAGUCCGGUGUGAAAGUCAAAGGCUCAACCUUUGAAUGCCGCUGGAAACUGUCUGGCUAGAGUCCGGGAGGGGCGAGUGGAAUUCCUGGUGUAGCGGUGAAAUGCGCAGAUAUCAGGAGGAACACCUGCGGUGUAGACGGCUUACUGGACCAUAACUGACGCUGAGGCACGAAAGCGUGGGUAGCAAACAGG